CACAGUCCAACAAUGACUAAGAUCGCUAUACUUUAUGUGGCCCUCGUGGUCUUCGCCAUGGUUCAAGCAACACCAGAUGGCGUUGGAGGUGGAUUAGGCGGCGGCGUCGGUGGCGAUAGUGGAAUUGGCACCGGAGGCGGUUUGGGAAGCGGUGGCGGCGGCGGCCUUGGAGGAGGUGUUGGUGGUGUUGGGGGUAUUUCCGUUGAUAAAGACCAAGGCUAACAUGGACGCUACUUUCGGCACUACACUGGAACACGACGGCAGACAAUGUUAAAUAA